GUCAGCAGCCAUAUCACCCUGUAGCCCAAGACUGGUUGCCCACUGAAGCUAAGCAGGGUUGAGCCUGGUCAGUACCUGGAUGGGAGACCUCCUGGGAAAACUAGGUUGCUGCUGGAA
rnacentral:rRNA from 1 species